rnacentral:rRNA from 1 species
AGUGAACGCUGGCGGCAGGCCUAACACAUGCAAGUCGAACGGCAGCACAGGAGAGCUUGCUCUCUGGGUGGCGAGUGGCGGACGGGUGAGGAAUAUAUCGGAAUCUACCCUUUCGUGGGGGAUAACGUAGGGAAACUUACGCUAAUACCGCAUACGAACUGAGGUUGAAAGCGGCGGACCGCAAGGCGUCGCGCGGAAGGAUGAGCCGAUAUCCGAUUAGCUAGUUGGCGGGGUAAAGGCCCACCAAGGCGACGAUCGGUAGCUGGUCUGAGAGGAGGAGCAGCCACACUGGAACUGAGACACGGUCCAGACUCCUACGGGAGUCAGCAGUGGGGAAUAUUGGACAAUGGGCGCAAGCCUGAUCCAGCCAUGCCGCGUGUGUGAAGAAGGCCUUCGGGUUGUAAAGCACUUUUGUUGGGAAAGAAAAGCGGUCGGUUAAUACCCGGUCGUUCUGACGGUACCCAAAGAAUAAGCACCGGCUAACUUCGUGCCAGCCGCCGCAGUAA